GUGACCUGCGGAGGAUCAUUAAAGAGACGUUGCCCUUCGGGGUAUACCUCCCACCCAUUGUUUAUUAUACCUUUGUUGCUUUGGCAGACCCGGCUUCGGCCCACCGGCUCCGGCUGGUCAGCGUCUGCCAGAGGACCUAAAACUCUGUUUGUUAAUAUUGUCUGAGUACUAUAUAAUAGUUAAAACUUUCAACAACGGAUCUCUUGGUUCUGGCAUCGAUGAAGAACGCAGCGAAAUGCGAUAAGUAAUGUGAAUUGCAUAAUUCAGUGAAUCAUCGAAUCUUUGAACGCACAUUGCGCCCUCUGGUAUUCCGGGGGGCAUGCCUGUUCGAGCGUCAUUACAACCCUCAAGCUUUGCUUGGUAUUGGACGUUGCCAGUUUCUGGCAGGUCUUAAAAUCAGUGGCGGUGCCAUUUGGCUUCAAGCGUAGUAAUUCUUCUCGCUUUGGAGAUCCAGGUGGUUACUUGCCAAUAACCCCCAAUUUUUUCAGGUUGACCUCGGAUCAGGUAGGGAUACCCGCUGAACUUAAGCAUAUCAAUAAGCGGAGGA
rnacentral:rRNA from 1 species